rnacentral:rRNA from 2 species
CGUGUAGGCGGCCUGCUAAGUCUGAUGUGAAAGCCCGAGGCUCACCCUCGGAAGUGCAUUGGAAACUGGCAGACUGGAGUCCCGGAGAGGAGGGUGGAAUUCCUGGUGUAGCGGUGAAAUGCGUAGAUAUCAGGAGGAACACCGGUGGCGAAGGCGGCCCUCUGGACGGUGACUGACGCUGAGACGCGAAAGCGUGGGGAGCAAACAGGAUUAGAUACCCUGGUAGUCCACGCUGUAAACGAUGAGCACUAGGUGUCGCGGGUAUUGACCCCUGCGGUGCCGCCGCUAACGCAUUAAGUGCUCCGCCUGGGGACUACGGCCGCAAGGUUAAA